rnacentral:lncRNA from 1 species
CUGAGGGAACAAAGGGGACCCUGACCUCACUCAGCACUUUGGAGACGGGUCAGAGCUCUGAGGAGGCCUCUUCGUGAACGCUCGCGUCUCUGAAGUGUGAUGGACUCCGUGAGCCUGGAGAAACUGCCAAGUGGAAUCAAAGGCCCACAGGAGACGCUACCUCUGCUGGUUGAAGAACCAUGGUGACGCUCUCAAACAAGAGGCAAAGGGAAGCGAGCAGGAAGCACAAGUGUUCACCCUACUGGGAGUCAUUUAAUAACCAGCUGCCAUUGAAAGUGUGGAUGGAACAUUUGUCUUAGCCAGGUCAUCUCGAGCCGAGAUCCUCCACACCAGAGCCAGGACCUCCUGAAGAAAAACAACAGCUGGGCUCCACUAUUGUCUUGGCUUCUCCCUUCCAUGGUGGCUAGUUAAAAUAAACAUGGACGCUCUCGGUGAAUUUUCUGAAUGCACUUGUGAGUUUGUUAUUUUAGUAAUCAAAUCAUUCCCUCUGUCCGCCCCUCUCCCCCAGUCCCUAAACCUACCCUGACCGCCAUCUACUUUAUGGCUUAAGCUCAUAUUCUUUUCUGAUUUCC